rnacentral:ncRNA from 1 species
GAUAGCGGACAAGUACCGUGAGGGAAAGGUGAAAAGUACCCCGGGAGGGGAGUGAAAUAGUACCUGAAACCGGAUGCUUACAAUCCGUCGGAGCCUCCAUUGCUGGGGGUGACGGCGUGCCUUUUUGAAGAAUGAGCCUGCGAGUUAGUGGCAUGUGGCGAGGGUUUAAACCCCGGGGGUGGGGGGGAAAGCCCGUAGCGAAAAAGCGAGUCCCGAAACAGGGGGCGCACCCAGUCGCGUGCUCUAGACCCCGAAAGCGGGAGUGAUCUACCCCAUGGGGCAGGGUUUGAAAGCACGUGUAAAGAGCGUGUGGGAGGGACCCGAAACCCCACUUUAGGGUUUGAAAAAACUGAGGGGGGAUGACCUGUGGGGUAGGGGGGUGAAAAGGGCCCAAUCAAAACUCCGUGAUAAGCUGGUUCUCCCCCGAAAUGCAUUUAGGUGCAGCGUCAUGUGU